rnacentral:rRNA from 1 species
UACGAAGGGGGCAAGCGUUGUCCGGAAUCAUUGGGCGUAAAGAGCGUGUAGGCGGCCCGAUAAGUCCGCUGUGAAAGUCCAGGGCUCAACCCUGGAAUGCCGGUGGAUACUGUCGGGCUCGAAUCCGGAAGAGGUGAGUGGAAUUCCUGGUGUAGCGGUGAAAUGCGCAGAUAUCAGGAGGAACACCAAUGGCGAAGGCAGCUCACUGGGACGGUAUUGACGCUGAGACGCGAAAGCGUGGGGAGCAAACAGG